CCCAUGUUAUAACUCGACAGUGAGCAUGAGGUGUAUGAAUACACCAUGUGUGUCUGGUGUAUAAAAGACACCUACGUUAUAACUUAGCAGUGAACAUGAGGUGUAUGAAUGUACCAUGUGUGACCGGUUAUAACCAGACACCUAUGUUAUAACUCGAAAUGAGGUGUAAAGGAGAGGCUAAAGUGAUAACUUGGUAUUUAGGCAUAAUGUGACACCAACACAUUAUGUAUACAACAGAACAUCCAACUAUACAUGUUACCAUGCUAUAAAAGCACUUAUAACAAGAACAGAACAAAUAAAGAUCUUUUGUAUCCUCAAAAUUAUUGGGUCGUACAGUAUUUUAUUUGAUAAAAUUGUCUUCCAAAUUACAAACGAAUACGCUACAGUAUACCUAAUGUUGGUCAAAGUUUCUUAAAUUAGCACAGGGCAAAGCGAACAGCAGUUUAAAGCAUUCACUAGAUAAUAUAGAACUUUUAUACUUGGCGCACAUGUAACAGUAGCAUCUGUGUUGGGAAAGAAAAAAGUUUUCAUAACCGAAAACUUGUUUCCCCUCGAAAAAAAAGAUUUAAAAAUCUGAAAUCUGACGCUUUUUGUCGAGAAUUUGAAACACAGAACAGACACAUGCUAACUACAACACAGCGGACAAUGAAUUGGGAAUUUUUUUGAGAAUUUUUGAGUGAAAAAAUUAUGGGGUGAAACACGCCUGGGGUGUGGCAUGGGCCAUGGGUGAUAUCUACAUAAGUGGGGGCUCAUUUACAAGAAGUAAUCAGGGGUACGGCGGG